AUGAGUAUGAAUAUUCAUCAAGAGAAUCCUCAGAAAUCUAGUGCACUCAGUGUUCUUGUGUUGCUUGCUAGUGGAAUUCCUAUUGAAAAACCACUUCCAGUAUGGGCUCUAUCAUUUGGAAUGUCUGUCACACUGACAAACCUUGCUCUUUCCUACGUGUUUGCUGCUAAGAUGGUUACACCAAACUCUAUUUGGAAAUCUCUUUUUUUCUAA